UGUGUUUCUCAUGCCCAAUCCACAACAGUGUACUAUGCCUAUCCUAUGUUGUCAGGAUAAUUGUAAUCCAUUGUGUACUUGUCUGUUACCUACUUGUUGUUUUGUAUUUGUUUCUUCCGUCAUCACGCCCUGUUGCUUGGCCUUACGUCUUCCAUGUCUCUUGUGUUGUUGCCAGUGUCAUUUUUUAGUUUCACGUCUGUACAAGUUGCUGCUUUGAACCAAUUUAUGUGAUGUUUUACCCAUAUUUGUUUUUUAGCUGGUUGCGAGGUAUAUGUUUUAUACCUCUAUUUCUAAUAUGCUGAUCCGCAAUCGUUUGUGUUUCGUAACUUUUUUUUUGGUUCUUAUUUCUCAGUUCUCCCUUUCUUCUUCAAGCGUGGGGUUUCAUAAUUGUCAAACAUGUCGCUUUAUGGUGUUAAUGUCGUUACUGAUGUUUUAUGCCAUCAGCCUAUAUACCUAUAUACGUUGCUGUGUUUUUCACCGUGGUGUUUAUGUUGUGCGAGUGUUUACUGGUGUCAGAAGUCAUGAUUAAAACUAUUAAAGUGAUGUUUUUGUGCUCCAUAUUCAUGUUUCGCUUCUGUGUUUAUAUUGUUAAUGCUAUCUCCUGUUAUGAAUGUAUUGGUUUGUACUAUUUUUGUGCGCGUCUGUAUUCAUUAUUAAGUUGUGUUGAUGUAUCCUUCAUGUGUCUAUUUUAUCGUUAGUUUUUUUUAUAUGUCACGUCAUGUUGACCUAAACGUGUGCGAUAAUCGAUCAAAAAAUGCCACAGGUCGUGAUUUUAUUGUUUUACUUUGUUCAAGGCACAGAUCAUAUGAAGUUACUUUGUUUUGUGUUCCAAGGUUGUUUUAUGUUCUUUACUGCUUUGUUUUCGUACUUCUGUGUUCUGUGUUCACGGUUAACUUGUUUUGUUUUGUAUUGGUUACAUUGUCUUUGUCCCGUGUUGGAUGCUUGUGUUACGCCUCAUUGUAUUGUGUGCGCGAUAUCAUACCGUGUGAAUGUUUGUGUAACAUAUUCGUAGUAUACAAUGUCAGUCUAUUGCAUUUUGCUCACACCGGGUUCGCUUUUCUUUUGUCUUAAUAUUUGCUUAGUUUUUGUUGCCUUGAAUCCGUUGAUUUUCCUGUCUGUUUGUCGUGAUUCUCUCUUUGCCUUGUCCUUAUCAUGUUUUAUUAGUCCUCACGUCUGUCCAUGUUUAUAAUCUCCCCGUGUUACUUUUUGUUGUUGUUGCAAUUAAUGUCGGUUUUAUGCUUCAAUUUGUGUAAGCUAAGUCUUUAUUGUUUACUGACUGUUUCUGCUGUUUUCCAUCUGUCACUGUGUUUAUGUCUACCAGCUAUUUGUCUCCAAGAUUUUUAUGAGUAGUUUGUGUGUUUCGUCUCCAACAGUUGUCUUUGGUUGUUUUGUUUUUUUGUUGCUUUGCGCGCAUGUGUAGUGUGCCACGAUCAUUGUCUACUGUCGAUUUUCAUGUUCUUUCAUUGUCUUGAGCACCAUUGGUUAAAGACUUUAAUCAUGUUCGCCUUACGAGUGAAUCAAGGUCAUAUCUCUACACUUGUUUCUAUUCGUUUGAACUGAUUCCAUUAAGUUGUAAAUUUUUCAUGACACUUCAUGUACCAUUGCUUGUCUCUUUUCUACUGUGUUUAUGUUUGUGGCUUUGUUUUAGCGUCAUACUUCAUGUGAGUAGACAGUAAUGUUGUAACUGUGUGAAUCUCUGUUGUGUUACGUUCACAUGGCCUUCUUUGGCCUUAGUUGUCAUUGUUUUCCGUGUUAAUUUUAUUGUAGUAGUGUUCAUGUUGUUGUUGAGUUUCGUGUUCGCCUUGUUGCGUUCACACGGCCUUCUUUGGCCUAAGUGUCCCUUGUUUUCCGUGUUCAUUUUAUUGUAAUGGUGUUCGUGUUUUUGUUGUCAUGUUAUGUUUACGGCUUGGGUCAGUCAUCUUUUAUUUGUGUCAGCCUCUGUUUAUUAUAUUUAAGCUUUUAUUAUGAUGAUAUUUGACAAAUGAAUGGGUUGAUUUUAUACUGAAGUCCAUGCUCUUAUGGGUUCGUUUUAAUGCGUUUCAACGUUGUUCUUGUUAUGUGUCAGUAAUGUUACAUAUGUUAAUAUCCCUGUGUUCUGUGUGUCGUUCAUCGCUUAGUGUUUGUAAUCACCAGCUGCACGUUGUUUCGUUUUAACUUCGUUGUACUAGUUGUGAUGAUGUGUUAUUUUCAGUCAGUCAACUAAACUCCUUUUGUUUUCACGCUCUCUCGGCUUUAUUCAUGUUUAUUUGACUGUGCGUUAACUUUUACCCCUUGGUUUCCAAUUGUACCUUGUAUUGUGUCUGUAGUGUCAAUGACCUUUUUAACAAUUUUAUGUUCUUUGUUACGUUUGGAUGUUUUUGUUGUCGUUGUCGUUAUCGUUGUUUUUGUGUAUGUUGUUCGUAUGUCUUGUCUUGGUUGUCAUUGUGUUUGGUUGUUUGUUAUGUGUCAUUCAUUACCUUGUGUCUAUGGUCACUCGCAGUUUUCAUUACUUUAUGUUCUUCAAGUAGGAAUUAGAACUAUUCUAGUAAUCACGUGAUGAAAAUUCUGUUUUUAUCUAUCUUUUCUUUCGCCUAGGGCCAGUCAACUUAAUUAUGUAUCUCUUAUUGAUUUGUUUGCUGCAUCUCAUCACAUUCUAAUAUGGUUUAAUGUUAAACAGUUAUUUUACAAUUGUUACGAAUGGAAGCCACGAAAUUGAUGGCAAGAGAAUUUUUUCAACCACCCAAUUCUGUGGGGAAUUCUUAACUGCUUUGUGUUGUCCAAAGUUCAGCCCUGAAUUUUCUAAAAAAUCAAUUUAAAAAUAUGUUGUUGUUGGAGGCGGAUGUAAAAUAUACUGUAAAUAUAAUUGUUUGUUUUUUUGGUGCACUAGAACAUUGUGAAUCACAAUUCAUGUUGGCCAAAAAGUCCUCUGUACGUCCUUGCAUUUAUUUAGCUAUUUAUUACAAUGUACUUCUCAAUAAAUUCAGGC
rnacentral:lncRNA from 1 species